GAUGCCCAUCCCUAAACAGGAGCCAGCAUAUAUACUCCGCCCGUUGCUGGUGGUUGCCAUGGUAACGUUAGUAGCUCAGUCUCAGAGAACGAGACGUCACAAACUAACAAGGUGGCAAAACAUUGGCGUCAGUGUCGGUGUUGUCAAAGAUCUCCGUUUGCGGCCGUUGAUACUGCAACACAACCCCGGAGAUUUCAAAGUCAAGCAUGGCCAAAA